UACGGAGGGUGCGAGCGUUGUCCGGAAUCAUUGGGCGUAAAGGGCGCGUAGGCGGCGCGGGUAGUCAUCGGUGAAAGUUCAGGGCUCAACUCUGAAUCGGCCGGUGAUACUCCCGUGCUCGAGCACUGUAGAGGCAGGUGGAAUUCCGGGUGUAGCGGUGGAAUGCGUAGAGAUCCGGAAGAACACCGGUGGCGAAGGCGGCCUGCUGGGCAGUAGCUGACGCUGAUGCGCGACAGCGUGGGGAGCAAGCAGG
rnacentral:rRNA from 1 species